rnacentral:rRNA from 1 species
UUGGACGAGGGGCCCCUCUCGGGUUACCGAAUUCAGACAAACUCCGAAUGCCAAUUAAUUUAACUUGGGAGUCAGAACAUGGGUGAUAAGGUCCGUGUUCGAAAGGGAAACAGCCCAGACCACCAGCUAAGGUCCCAAAAUAUAUGUUAAGUGGAAAAGGAUGUGGCGUUGCCCAGACAACUAGGAUGUUGGCUUAGAAGCAGCCAUCAUUUAAAGAGUGCGUAAUAGCUCACUAGUCGAGUGACACUGCGCCGAAAAUGUACCGGGGCUAAACAUAUUACCGAAGCUGUGGAUUGUCCUUUGGACAAUGGUAGGAGAGCGUUCUAAGGGCGUUGAAGCAUGAUCGUAAGGACAUGUGGAGCGCUUAGAAGUGAGAAUGCCGGUGUGAGUAGCGAAAGACGGGUGAGAAUCCCGUCCACCGAUUGACUAAGGUUUCCAGAGGAAGGCUCGUCCGCUCUGGGUUAGUCGGGUCCUAAGCUGAGGCCGACAGGCGUAGGCGAUGGAUAACAGGUUGAUAUUCCUGUACCACCUAUAAUCGUUUUAAUCGAUGGGGGGACGCAGUAGGAUAGGCGAAGCGUGCGAUUGGAUUGCACGUCUAA